CAAUCAAAUACUUUAUUUGGAAUCUUAAUUUGAGAUUGAGAUCUUCUUUGUACUCCGCCUCUUUUCGAUAUUAAUAAAUUAUUUGGUCCGUCUUCGCCCAUGGACGUAGGUCGUUGGCCGAACCACGUAAAUAUCGGUGUAUUCUUUUUCUUUUUUUUUUCUUUUCGUUUCCUGCAUUAAGUUAUUUUCUGGAUCUAUUUUUCGUCGUUCCGAUUUUAACAGCUGUCUCACCCAUAUAACCUAAUUUAUUUUUUUAAUGAAUGAAGUGGGUAGCGUGUUAUUUAUAUCUCAAAAAAAACUCUUUAUCCGAUGGCAUCUCGGAUGUUUACUCCAAAACUUCAUAUUAUAUGUAGGGAUGCAAACGGGGCGGAUCUGGGGGCGGGAGACCCGCCCCGCCUCCCGCCCCGACUAGCAAAAAUCCGCCCCGCCUCCCGCCCCGAAUCCGUGACGGGUUAAAAAAUACAUCCCAUAAUCCGCCCCGCCUCGUAACCCGCCUCCCGCCGGCGCCCCGAAUCUGCCCCGCCAACUAAUAUUUUUUAUAAAAUUAUAAUAUUAUUAAUAUUUUGUAAAAUAUAAAUUAAUAAUUUUUAAUAAUAUUAUAUAUAUAAUUUAACAAUAUUAAUGGUAAAAAUUAAAAAUAUCAAUCACAAUUCAAAACAAAAUUCAAAUGUUUUAAAUACAUUAGAAAUGAGAGUAAUAACUUAUUUGUAUUUUGAACUUUUUUUGUAAAUAUAUUAUUUUUUAGAAAUAUUUUUUAAAAAUACAAAUGAUAUUCGGGGCGGAUUCGGGGCGGGUCAAAAUUUUUUCCGUUUCCUGCCCCGAAUCCGUCUCGGAUCGGAAAACUUAUCCCGUUUUCUACCCCGAAUCUGUUUAUUUUCUCCCAUUUACUGUCUUCGUGGGGGCGGAUCGGGGCGGGAGCUCCACCAACUCGGAUCCAUUUGCAUCCCUAAUUAUAUGUCCUUCGGUCCUUUUGGGGUAAUUUGUCGAACUUUUGGGCGUACGCUAUUUUUAAGCCUAUGUUAUAGCUUUUUGGCAGGGAGAGGAAUAGGGGUGGAAACGAGCCGAGCUCGAGCGAGCUUAUGUCAGCUCAAAUUCGGCUUGAAAUUAAUUUCGAGCCUAAAUCUAGGCUCAAGCUCAGCUUGAAAUUAAUUUGAGCUGAGCUCGAGCGAGCUUAAUUUCGAGUCGAGCCGAGCUCGAGCUCUAAACGAGCCGAUUGAAAUUCUCGACAUUAUAUAAUUAAUAGUUUAAUUUUUAUAGAACAUGACCAACAAUUUGAUGCAACAUGUCUAAUAGUUCAAAAUACAACAUAAUUAUAAGAAAUAUGAGCUAGAGUGACUUUCUGACUGGAUGAGGGUCUGAGAGAGAGAGAGAGAGGGGAAAAACGUAGGGAUUUGAAAUUUUGAAUGUUAUCAUGUUUUAGGGUUAUGUGCAACAGUGAAAGUCUGAAAGAGAAAGUGUAUUAUGUAAAUUUAGAAUUGGGCUCAAUUGCACGGUUGUACUUGUUGGGUUUAUUUUAUAGGCCAGCAAUAAUAGCCCAAAUUAAAUUAAAGCCUAUAUAUAAUUAAAAUACAUUAUAUUUAUAAAUAUUAUAUAUAUAUAUAUAUAUAUAUAGAGAGAGAGAGAGAGAGAGAGAGUCCGGCUAUUAUACUUUUAUAAGUAUUGGCUCCUUUAUACUCAUAAAUUUUCGACCCUUAGAUUUAUUCCAUUAAUCAUUUUCAACCGUUAGAUCAUACUAUUUAACCAACUACCCACUCAACCCUAGGGAAUCACUAUCAUUCUAAGUGGGGACCACCAUCAUCCUAACCGCACAUCCCAUCAAUCAACGGUUAAAAAUUUAUGAGUAUAAGGGGGUCUAUACUCAUAAGAGUAUAGUAGCCCCAGCCUAUAUAUAUAUAUAUAUAUAUAUAUAUAAUUUUUUUUUUCGAGCUUUUCGAGCUUUUCGAGCCUAAUUCGAACGACCCGAGUAAUACUCAAGCUCGGCUUGAAAUAAAUUUCGAGCCUUUUAUUUUGUUCAAGCUCGGCUCAUUUAAUUUCGAGUCGAGCUCGAGCGAGCCGAAUAUUGAGCCGAACACCAGUCGAACGCGAGCCGGCUCGCUCGUUUGCCAGCCCUAGAGAGGAAGUCUACUGUGUAUAAUAAUUACACUAUAUUAUUUAUAUUCAACUAAAUAUAUAUUUUUUAAAAAAAUAUAAUAAAUUUUUUUUUUACAAACUAUAAU
rnacentral:lncRNA from 1 species